UGGGGAAUAUUGGACAAUGGGGGGAACCCUGAUCCAGCAAUGCCGCGUGUGUGAAGAAGGCCUGAGGGUUGUAAAGCUCUUUUACCAGGGACGAUAAUGACGGUACCUGGAGAAUAAGCCCCGGCAAACUUCGUGCCAGCAGCCGCGGUAAUACGAAGGGGGCUAGCGUUGUUCGGAAUUACUGGGCGUAAAGCGCACGUAGGCGGAUUGUUAAGUCAGAGGUGAAAUCCCGGAGCCCAACUUCGGAACUGCCUUUGAUACUGGCAAUCUAGAGUCCGGAAGAGGUUAGUGGAAUUCCCAGUGUAGAGGUGAAAUUCGUAGAUAUUGGGAAGAACACCAGUGGCGAAGGCGGCUAACUGGUCCGGUACUGACGCUGAGGUGCGAAAGCGUGGGGAGCAAACAGGAUUAGAUACCCCCGUAGUCCCUGAGCGGGCUGGCAAGGCGCAU
rnacentral:rRNA from 1 species